rnacentral:rRNA from 1 species
GACGAACGCUGGCGGCGUGCUUAACACAUGCAAGUCGAACGGAAAGGCCCUGCUUGCAGGGUACUCGAGUGGCGAACGGGUGAGUAACACGUGGGUGAUCUGCCCUGCACUUCGGGAUAAGCCUGGGAAACUGGGUCUAAUACCGGAUAGGAGCCAUUUUUAGUGUGAUGGUUGGAAAGUUUUUUCGGUGUAGGAUGAGCUCGCGGCCUAUCAGCUUGUUGGUGGGGUAAUGGCCUACCAAGGCGGCGACGGGUAGCCGGCCUGAGAGGGUGGACGGCCACAUUGGGACUGAGAUACGGCCCAGACUCCUACGGGAGGCAGCAGUGGGGAAUAUUGCACAAUGGGCGCAAGCCUGAUGCAGCGACGCCGCGUGGGGGAUGACGGCCCUCGGGUUGUAAACUCCUUUCGCUAGGGACGAAGCUUUUGUGACGGUACCUAGAUAAGAAGCACCGGCUAACUACGUG